UGGGGAAUAUUGCACAAUGGGCGCAAGCCUGAUGCAGCCAUGCCGCGUGUAUGAAGAAGGCCUUCGGGUUGUAAAGUACUUUCAGCGGGGAGGAAGGGAGUAAAGUUAAUACCUUUGCUCAUUGACGUUACCCGCAGAAGAAGCACCGGCUAACUCCGUGCCAGCAGCCGCGGUAAUACGGAGGGUGCAAGCGUUAAUCGGAAUUACUGGGCGUAAAGCGCACGCAGGCGGUUUGUUAAGUCAGAUGUGAAAUCCCCGGGCUCAACCUGGGAAGUGCAUCUGAUACUGGCAAGCUUGAGUGUCGUAGAGGGGGGUAGAAUUCCAGGUGUGGCGGUGAAAUGCGUAGAGGUCGGGAGGAAUAGCGGUGGCGAAGGCGGCCCCCUGGACGAAGACUGACGCUCAGGUGCGAGAGGGUGGGGAGCAAACAGG
rnacentral:rRNA from 1 species